rnacentral:rRNA from 1 species
GAUGAACGCUAGCGGCAGGCCUAACACAUGCAAGUCGAGGGGUAGAGGAAGCUUGCUUCCUUGAGACCGGCGCACGGGUGCGUAACGCGUAUGCAAUCUACCUUUUACAGAGGGAUAGCCCAGAGAAAUUUGGAUUAAUACCUCAUAGUAUCUUUGCCUGGCAUCGGGUGAUUAUUAAAGUUCCAACGGUAGAAGAUGAGCAUGCGUCCUAUUAGCUAGAUGGUAAGGUAACGGCUUACCAUGGCAACGAUAGGUAGGGGUCCUGAGAGGGAGAUCCCCCACACUGGUACUGAGACACGGACCAGACUCCUACGGGAGGCAGCAGUGAGGAAUAUUGGACAAUGGGCGCAAGCCUGAUCCAGCCAUGCCGCGUGCAGGAAGACGGUCCUAUGGAUUGUAAACUGCUUUUGUACGGGAAGAAACACUCCUACGUGUAGGAGCUUGACGGUACCGUAAGAGGAAGGAUCGGCUAACUCCGUGCCAGCCGCCGCCGUAACAC